rnacentral:rRNA from 1 species
UACGUAGGGUGCAAGCGUUGUCCGGAAUCAUUGGGCGUAAAGCGCGCGUAGGUGGCUUCGUAAGUCCGUUGUGAAAGUCAAAGGCUCAACCUUUGAAUGUCAGCGGAUACUGCCGGGCUAGAGUCCGGAAGAGGCGAGUGGAACUCCUGGUGUAGCGGUGGAAUGCGCAGAUAUCAGGAAGAACACCAACGGCGAAGGCAGCUCGCUGGGACGGAACUGACGCUAAGGCGCGAAAGCGUGGGGAGCGAACAGG